rnacentral:lncRNA from 1 species
UUAGAUGCUUGCUUUUAGAUGCUAAACUUCCAAAUACAUUUUGGGCGGAAGCACUUAACACUGUCGCCUAUGUUAUCAUGUCUCCUGCUGCUGCUUUGGAUGGUGAUGUCCCUGAUAGAAUUUGGUUUAUCAAAGAUGUUUCUUAUGAUCACCUAAGAGUUUUUGGGUGUAUAGCUGGUGUGCAUGUUCCUAAAGACGAAAGAUCGAAACUGGAUGUCAAAACUAAGCAGUGCAUCUUUAUCGGUUAUGGUCAAGAUGAGUUUGAGUAUCAUUUUUCUGAUCCAGUUGACAAUAAACUUAUUAGAAGUCGUGAUGCACUAUUCCUUGAAGACCAAACUAUUGAAGAUAUUGACAAAGCUGAGAAGAUAGAUUCUCAAAGUAAUGAGAGCUUAGUUGAUGAUCUAGUUGGCAAUGAACUUAUCAGAAAUUGUG